UGUUGUCCGACCAUGUUGCCUCCGGGGCGACCCUGCCUCCGGGCGGGGGCUCCGGGUGGACAAUUCAAACUCUUGCGUAACUUUGCAGUCUGAGUAAAUUUAAUUAAUAAAUUAAAACUUUCAACAACGGAUCUCUUGGUUCUGGCAUCGAUGAAGAACGCAGCGAAAUGCGAUAAGUAAUGUGAAUUGCAGAAUUCAGUGAAUCAUCGAAUCUUUGAACGCACAUUGCGCCCCCUGGUAUUCCGGGGGGCAUGCCUGUUCGAGCGUCAUUUCACCACUCAAGCCUCGCUUGGUAUUGGGCAACGCGGUCCGCCGCGUGCCUCAAAUCGACCGGCUGGGUCUUCUGUCCCCUAAGCGUUGUGGAAACUAUUCGCUAAAGGAGGUUCGGGAGGCUACGCCGUAAAACAACCCCAUUUCUAAGGUUGACCUCGGAUCAGGUAGGGAUACCCGCUG
rnacentral:rRNA from 1 species